rnacentral:rRNA from 1 species
UACAGAGGGUGCGAGCGUUGUUCGGAAUUAUUGGGGCGUAAAGGGCGCGUAGGCGGUGCGGUAAGUCACCUGUGAAAAUCUCCUGGCUCAACUGGGAGCUUGCAGGCGAAACUGCCGUGCUGGAGUGUGGGAGAGGUGCGUGGAAUUCCUGGUGUAGCGGUGAAAUGCGUAGAUAUCAGGAGGAACACCGGUGGCGAAGGCGGGUCUCUGGGCAGUAACUGACGCUGAGGAGCGAAAGCGUGGGGAGCGAACAGG